ACCUAGCUGGCUCAUUUGGUAGAGUGUGUGACUCUUGAUCUCAAGGUCGUAAGUUGGAACCCCAUGUUGGGUG
rnacentral:tRNA from 1 species